rnacentral:rRNA from 1 species
GGACGAACGCUGGCGGCGUGCUUAACACAUGCAAGUCGAACGGAAAGGCCCUGCUUUUGUGGGGUGCUCGAGUGGCGAACGGGUGAGUAACACGUGAGUAACCUGCCCUUGGCUUUGGGAUAACUUCAGGAAACUGGGGCUAAUACCGGAUAGGAGCUCCUGCUGCAUGGUGGGGGUUGGAAAGUUUCGGCGGUUGGGGAUGGACUCGCGGCUUAUCAGCUUGUUGGUGGGGUAGUGGCUUACCAAGGCUUUGACGGGUAGCCGGCCUGAGAGGGUGACCGGCCACAUUGGGACUGAGAUACGGCCCAGACUCCUACGGGAGGCAGCAGUGGGGAAUAUUGCACAAUGGGCGGAAGCCUGAUGCAGCAACGCCGCGUGCGGGAUGACGGCCUUCGGGUUGUAAACCGCUUUCGCCUGUGACGAAGCGUGAGUGACGGUAAUGGGUAAAGAAGCACCGGCUAACUACGUG